GCUGGUGAGGGGAGGAUGGCUCAUAAUAAUGCCAGGAAACCAUGUGUUUGAUGUAUUUGAGAGAGUGCAGGAGAGAGGGUGAGUGUGAGAGAGAGAGGCAGAAGGAGCGAGAGUGUGGAACCCAGCCCCGUGAGGAUCAGGUUCUAUCUGGAACCCAGCCCCGUGAGGAUCAGGUUCUAUCUGGAACCCAGCCCCGUGAGGAUCAGGUUCUAUCUGGAACCCAGCCCCGUGAGGAUCAGGUUCUAUCUGGAACCCAGCCCCGUGAGGAUCAGGUUCUAUCUGGAAUCCAGGCUCCUGUUUCUCACAGAGCAGGGAUGUUUGAAUAUGUUGAAGGCCGCCUCCGAACCCAUACAAUAAAAAAAAUAAUGGCGAACAACAAAAG
ensembl:lncRNA